rnacentral:lncRNA from 1 species
UACGACUGUGUGUGUAAAACGCUCCUAGGAACGGUGUGUGUGUGUGUGAGUGUGUGUGUGUGUGUGUGUGUGUGUGUGUGUGUGUGUGUGUGUGUGUGUGUGAUUGGACGAGCGCGCUAGUGCUGUAUGCGCUCUGCAACUGUGCAUCCUGGCCGGCUGCAACCCAACCGGAGAGAGGGUGAUCUAACCCGCGGCUUGUGGGGAGUGCUUGGAAGUGCUGGCUCGCAGAAGGGGGCCCUAGGGCUCGGGAUUCGGAGUAAGCAGAGGCCGGCUCGGCGUAAUGGUCUGAGCCUGAGCAAGUCGGGACCCACCCGCUGAGUUCAAGAAUGAGGUCCAGAUCAUCCAGCGCGGACUUGGGUUCGUCAGUCACAGAAAGAGGGCUAAAGUGGCAGUUUGUAGACGAGGGGAAACUGAGAUCCACAGACAGGAAGGAACCUGUUCCAAGUUCCAUCCGAAAUAAGCUUCUGGGUGAACUAGAACCUGUCUCCGAAUUUCCAGUGAGAAGAUUCCUCUGUCAUGCUUCCCUUUUGGUCAGUGCAACAUCCAACACAAACAAUAGGGUUGUUAAACGGGAAAAACUGUCAGGGCUCCUCAAUUCCUUCUCCACUGGACCUCCAAAGCAAUCAGGAGGUAAGCUCCUGGAAGGGGGGUAAGGGAGGGCAGAGGCAGGAAAAUUCCAAGAGUCUGCAACCAGAUGCACCAGCCCUCUGGGGAGCUUGAACUAGUUUUCCCAGGCACUAAUUUCCCUAGCUUAAGACAUGAACGUGGAAAAAGAGUCCUCCAUACAUAGGAUAUCAACCCUUUCUUUCCUGGCCAAACAGCUCCGCCAGUUUCCCGGGGCCCUCUCCACAGCUUUAGGUUUAGUCUGACUUGGGGGAGGGGGUGGGGGAGAGCCCUGCAAAGUAUGGACUUUGUUUGAUCUAUGAGGACAGAGUUAACAUGGUUUAAUCCCUGGAUAGGGUGCUGAAGUAACUGCAGGAAGAUCCAGAGAGACGGGUGCACUUACUAAAAAGCUAUGUGAACUCAGGGAAAUCUUCAGUUUCCUCAUCCCCACAAUGAGGGCGUUGGACUAGAUAACUUCUACUGUCCUUCCAGCUCUAAAUCGAUGAUCUUAUGAUUCGGCUAGGAAACCUUGACCAGCCAACUUCCACACCCAGCCCCAGCCAGACCGGAAACCUUGGAGUAAUGGAACUGGGAGUCAGUAACACGGGUUUCUAAUCUUGGUCCAGGCACUAACGCACUGUAGGAACCUAGGGAUUU